UACGUAGGGUGCAAGCGUUAAUCGGAAUUACUGGGCGUAAAGCGUGCGCAGGCGGUUGUGCAAGGCCGAUGUGAAAUCCCCGGGCUUAACCUGGGAAUGGCAUUGGUGACUGCACGGCUAGAGUGUGUCAGAGGGGGGUAGAAUUCCACGUGUAGCAGUGAAAUGCGUAGAGAUGUGGAGGAAUACCGAUGGCGAAGGCAGCCCCCUGGGAUAACACUGACGCCCAUGCACGAAAGCGUGGGGAGCAAACAGG
rnacentral:rRNA from 1 species